ensembl:lncRNA
CCGGCUGUCCUCCACUUCGGUCCUCAUCUGCUUCUGUGUCCGCUGCUCGGAAAGAGAGAAGAACAGCGUUCAGACGCAUUCUUUGAGUCCAGCUGUACCUGUAGCCGCGUGUCAGUCGAGGCACCUGCAGCCUCGUGGCUCUGAAGCGUGUGGACACCCGGACCCGCGCCGCCUCGCCGCCCAGCACUCAAGGUGUGCCGGAAACGCCGAGCGGGGAAGAAUCGCGGCAACGCGUGGGAGAAGAAGAAGAAGAAGAAGAAGAAGAAGCAGCUCGUUGUGCAGCCACGCCUUCGAGGCGGAGGGACGGCGUGGAAUAACCACGGAUCUCAAUCAUGCUGCUGGCGUAAGCGACUCGACUCCCUGCCAACCCUCUUUGUGCGGGACGCACUUCUCAGAAGGUUACGCAAUGAGGAAAGAGCUCCACGAGACGCGCGAGUGGAGGGGGGAGAAAAAACAGAGAAGAGAAGACUGAUUCUGGUGAAUUCCUCUGGAGCCGGAGUGGAGGUAUUUCUGCGUAAACCUCCUGAACGCCGCUGUGUGCCGCGGCGGUUGCGUGGUGUUGAUGGAAAAAGGUUUUAUUCCCCAAUAAAAGCUUGUUUACUGGAGACUAACUGGC